rnacentral:misc_RNA from 1 species
GGAUGACUUUGAUUUUAAUUUAGUAUAAAUAUAAACCCUUGUUAUCAUCCCCCUGCAGAAUUCUAGAGCAAGUGUUCAAGAUCAUCCGUCCAAAUACCAAUUCAGAUCAAGAUGGCUAUGGCCAUGAAAGUUGAGAUCAUACACAAAGAAACCAUCAAACCAUCUUCUCCAACCCCACCUGACCUUAAAACCCUCAAGCUUUCCCUUCUGGAUCAGUUCACUCCUGCCACUUAUACACCAAUAAUUCUCUUUUACCCUGCAGGUGCUGAAAGAUCACAAAACCUAAAGACAUCGCUAUCUGAAACCUUAACUCUCUGGUACCCACUUGCAGGCAGGCUCAAAGAUAAUGCCUAUAUAAAGUGUGAAGAUCAGGGAGCUAAAUAUGUUGAAGCUCGCAUCAAAUGUCCUCUCUCAGAUAUUCUCAAUAAGCCUGACGUAGAGGUGCUAAAGCAAUUCCUGCCUGCGAGUAUAGAAUCUCCUGAAGCAGCGACGGGUAAUUUUUUACUCGUCCAAGCCACUUUCUUUGACUGCGGUGGCUUGGCAAUUGGGGUUUGUAUCUCGCAUAAGAUGGCUGAUGCAGCCACAUUAAACACAUUCGUUAGAAGCUGGGCUGCAACAGCCAAUAGCUCGAGUGAACUGGUACGUCCUGUAUUCAUGGGUGCAUCUAUUUUCCCACCAAUAGACUUGUCAAUUCCAAUGACCCCAGUGGAGCUGAUGCAACGAAAGUGCAUCACAAAAAGGUUUGUGUUUAGUGCCUCGAAGCUUGCUGCUUUGAGGGCUAAAGUUGCCAGUACAAGCGUGCCAAAGCCAUCGAGGGUGGAAGCUGUGUCGGGACUUAUCUGGAAAGGUGUAAUGACUGCGGUAAGAUCAAACUUUGGAUGUUUCAGGCCAUCAGUAUGGUCAAUUUCUGUGAAUUUGCGUAAGAGGCUGGUCCCAGCCUUACCAGAAAACUACUCGGGCAACUGCGUGGGGUUCAUUGGUCCAAAGAAUAUUGAAGAUAACGAGCUAGAAUUGCAAGAGCUAGUGGGUAGAAUAAGGAAAGAAAUGGAAGAAUUUGGUGAAAAUUAUGUGAAAAAAAUUCAAGAGGAUGGAGCUUUAUUAGCAAUUUGUGAUUUUUCUAAGGAGUUUGGAGAGCUUGCCAAGAGUAAUCAUACUGACUUCUAUGUCUGCUCUAGCUGGUGUAAAUUCGACAUAUAUGGUGCUGAUUUCGGAUGGGGAAGGCCCAUAUGGGUGAGCAGUACAAGCACAGAAGUAAGGAAUGUUGCUAUUUUGAUGGAUACUAGAGACGGCGAUGGAAUAGAAGCAUGGUUGACUCUGAGUGAAGAAGACAUGGCCUUGCUCGAAUCUAAUCAAGAGCUGCUUGAAUUUGCUGCGCUGAAUCCUAGUGUACCUCUUAGCUAGCUAAGUAAUUAACAGCUGGUGUAUUCUAAGGAUUUCGUGUUUCUUCUACCAUGUUCCAUGUGACACAGAUUGUCUUCUUCCUGCCAAUUUUCUUUAUAUUUGAAACAGAAUGCUAUUCAGGGCCGCCUGUGAGUGUGAUGUGUCUAUCAAUAUAAAUAAAGAAUAAGGUCAAUGUUCU